UACGAAGGGGGCUAGCGUUGUUCGGAAUUACUGGGCGUAAAGCGCACGUAGGCGGAUCGAUCAGUCAGGGGUGAAAUCCCAGGGCUCAACCCUGGAACUGCCUUUGAUACUGUCGAUCUGGAGUAUGGAAGAGGUGAGUGGAAUUCCGAGUGUAGAGGUGAAAUUCGUAGAUAUUCGGAGGAACACCAGUGGCGAAGGCGGCUCACUGGUCCGGUACUGACGCUGAUGCGCGAAAGCUAGGGGAGCGAACGGG
rnacentral:rRNA from 1 species